rnacentral:tRNA from 1 species
GGCGACGUAGCCAAGUGGCCAAGGCGGAGGUCUGCAAAACCUCUAUUCGGCGGUUCGAAUCCGCCCGUCGCCUCCA